rnacentral:lncRNA from 11 species
UUUAAAAAUACAUUGUUAUGUUUUUUUAUUUACAGAUGAACUCUUUUGACUGGAAGAAUAACACAUAUCCUGCAAAUUGAUUUCUGCACACUGUUCAUUAUCAAUUCAGAGCUUGAAGUGGAUUUAGAGGAAGAAAAUGAAGAGUGGGGUGACACAGGUGAAUUCCAGUUCCAGUUAUGAAAGGAAAGAAGCUAACAAUCUUCGACAGAGAAGUUUGUCUCCAGAAGACAGGUAUGCAGAACGUGGGAGAUCUCGGUCACCACCAGGCAAAGAUUAUUCAGAUCAUAGCAGACCCAACCGAGAGCAUUCAGAAAAGGGACGUUAUGGUGACAAAUACAUGGAGUCAAGGUAAAUGUCAAGCAGUAAUGAACUAGUUAAUGAUCAUGCUGCUUAGCUUUUAGCAAGCUCUUUUAGUUA